AACUAAAAAAACACAAGCGAUACAGAGAAAAGGAAGGAGAGAAAAAAAAAGCUUGCGAUACAGGGGAGAGACAGAGUUCGUGCGGCCGCCCAUCACCAUCCCUUGCCAGACUUAGACCACCGGAACCAGCACCGGUAACCUAAAGGUGCAUGCAGGAAUUGAGAUGCGGAGAUAGAGAGAACUACCACCGGUAUUUGGGUUACAUUUGGUUUGGAUUUUAAAAGAGAAGAGAGGCUACGGUGAUUUUCUCUUAAUGGGAUUUCGCCAGAAUCAUCUGACUGUUGGGAAGACAAUACGGUUUAAUUUUUUUGUUUGUUGAGAAACCUCCCCCUUUGCAGUUGGUUGGCCAAUCAUUAAUUCUAUUAAGGAUUGGAUUUAGAAUGUCAGGGAAAUCAUGGUCCAAUCCCAAUACUUUUUUGCAGUGCAUUUGCAUCAAGUAGAAUUCAUGUAUGUAAUUUCAGCCAAUCUGAUGUAGAUAUGGGAAUAAGGAAAAAGUAUACCACUGAUAAUAUAGCAGUCCUAUAGGUAAGUGCUCUGCUUAUAAUCCUUUUGGAGAUUACUUUAUGGGGAUAUUUAGAUUUUCUUAAGAAUUUUGAUUCAUGGGAACUGUUUUAGUUAAGGUGGUGAUGUCAUUGUUACAAAAAGAGGAAAAUGAAGUUUAUAAGAGGCCUAAAUCUGGGAUAAAGAAAGGGUAUUUCUUUCCCCAUUGUUAGGAAGUUUGAAUAUGCAAAAUAUUGAUAACCUAAUAAAUUUUUGUUAGUUAUGUUGUCACUUUUGUUCAUGUCAUCAACCUAAAAGGUAUAAGGUACUGUGAUUGAUAAAUUAAAGUGCUUCUUAAGAACUUUUUAUACAUUUAUUUUUAUCCUACUUAGUUUCUGAAAAUAUUUUUUUCAUCUAUUCUUUGUUUGCCAAUAUCUGUUUCUUUCUAAUGGUCAAGGUUUCAGUGAGUUAUUUGUUAAAGUUAUAUAUUGUGUUGAAUUCUUUUUUAUUUUAUUUAUCAUUUGCAUCUCUUUUUAAAAAGAAAAGUUUUGCACAUCACUUUUUAAAAAAGAUAGCAUCCUAAGGCCGUGGAAGGUAAUUAGAAGAAGCCAAUAUAUAUAUAUAUAUUUUGGCAGUGUAUGCCUAAGUUUUUGUUGGCUUGGUUCCUUAUUUCUUUGCCAUAGUCAAACAUUCUAUAUAUUUGUUUUUGCUUUUUAUAUUUUUUGUUGGCUUGAUGAGCGCAGGGGAAAGUUUCCAAAUUUUUAUUAAACUUGCAAGAUUAUGAAUACCCACACACCAUUUUGAUAUACAAUUCUUUCUCUCUCUCUCUGAAUUCAGUUAUGCCAGAUUAUUUUUGUCCAAGAUCAGUAUUAUGCGGAAGCAGCAUGUUCAUUCGUAUCAAAAAGAGUGGUGGAUUGGGUUCCAAUAACUUUCUUUUUGGGGACCUGAAUUUGAAGCAAAGAAAUAGAAAGAGAAUGUGUAAUACAGAAUUCAAUUUAAUUUUCAGUUUUUGUUUUCCAUCCUACCUGUUCUGUUUUUGAAGAGUGAUUGAAAUGGUAGAACUUUGAAAUCUGAAAGUGUAAUGUUUUUUAUACAAAGUUGAUUAUCUCUUAGAUUUCAGUUAAUAUUCCACUCUAUCUGCAUAAUUACUAGGGUUAGAUACUUUAAACUUUUAUAUUAAUGGUAGAUAAUUGUAGAUAGUGUAUGCAGCAGCCAAUGUGGCCGAUUGCAGAUACUUAUUUUUAUUGAGAAAGUGAUUUAUAUAUAGAUACUUUAUUAGUCAUUAUGAAAAUGAAAUAAUGACUAAAAAUUUGCUAAAAAUUCUGCUACACCAAUAAAAUAUGGACAUCUAAUCAUGGUUAAAGACCAUUU